GUAGUGACCUGCGGAGGAUCAUUACAAGUGAGGCUACCGAACGUUGGAAACAGCGGUUAGGAGCUUACACCCACCCGUGUUUACAUACUAUUGUUGCUUUGGCGGGCCGUGGCCUCCACUACGGGCUCUGCUCGUGUGUGCCCGCCAGAGGACCAAACUCUGAAUGUUAGUGAUGUCUGAGUACUAUCUAAUAGUUAAAACUUUCAACAACGGAUCUCUUGGUUCUGGCAUCGAUGAAGAACGCAGCGAAAUGCGAUAAGUAAUGUGAAUUGCAGAAUUCAGUGAAUCAUCGAAUCUUUGAACGCACAUUGCGCCCUGUGGUAUUCCGCAGGGCAUGCCUGUUCGAGCGUCAUUUAACCACUCACGCCUAGCGUGGUAUUGGGGCACGCGGUCUCGCGGCCCUCAAAAUUAGUGGCGGCGCCGGUGGGCUCUAAGCGUAGUACAUACUCCCGCUAUAGAGUUCCCCCGGUGGCUCGCCAGAACCCCCAAUUUUUUACAGGUUGACCUCGGAUCAGGUAGGGAUACCCGCUGAACUUAAGCAUAUCAAA
rnacentral:rRNA from 1 species